rnacentral:rRNA from 1 species
CAUAAUUAGUUGGUGGGUAAAGGCCUACCAAGACAAUGAUGCAUAGCCGAGUUGAGAGACUGAUCGGCCACAUUGGGACUGAGACACGGCCCAAACUCCUACGGGAGGCUGCAGUAGGGAAUCUUCCACAAUGGGCGAAAGCCUGAUGGAGCAACGCCGCGUGUGUGAUGAAGGCUUUCGGGUCGUAAAGCACUGUUGUAUGGGAAGAAAAGUUAAGGUAGGGAAUGACCUUAGCCUGACGGUACCAUACCAGAAAGGGACGGCUAAAUACGUGCCAGCAGCCGCGGUAAUACGUAUGUCCCGAGCGUUAUCCGGAUUUAUUGGGCGUAAAGCGAGCGCAGACGGUUGGUUAAGUCUGAUGUGAAAGCCCGGAGCUCAACUCCGGAAAGGCAUUGGAAACUGGUUAACUUGAGUGCAGUAGAGGUAAGUGGAACUCCAUGUGUAGCGGUGGAAUGCGUAGAUAUAUGGAAGAACACCAGCGGCGAAGGCGGCUUACUGGACUGUAACUGACGUUGAGGCUCGAAAGUGUGGGUAGCAAACAGGAUUAGAUACCCUGGUAGUCCACACCGUAAACGAUGAACACUAGGUGUUAGGAGGUUUCCGCCUCUUAGUGCCGAAGCUAACGCAUUAAGUGUUCCGCCUGGGGAGUACGACCGCAAGGUUGAAACUCAAAGGAAUUGACGGGGACCCGCACAAGCGGUGGAGCAUGUGGUUUAAUUCGAAGCAACGCGAAGAACCUUACCAGGUCUUGACAUCCUUUGAAGCUUUUAGAAAUAGAAGUGUUCUCUUCGGAGACAAAGUGACAGGUGGUGCAUGGUCGUCGUCAGCUCGUGUCGUGAGAUGUUGGGUUAAGUCCCGCAACGAGCGCAACCCUUAUUGUUAGUUGCCAGCAUUCAGAUGGGCACUCUAGCGAGACUGCCGGUGACAAACCGGAGGAAGGCGGGGACGACGUCAGAUCAUCAUGCCCCUUAUGACCUGGGCUACACACGUGCUACAAUGGCGUAUACAACGAGUUGCCAACCUGCGAAGGUGAGCUAAUCUCUUAAAGUACGUCUCAGUUCGGACUGCAGUCUGCAACUCGACUGCACGAAGUCGGAAUCGCUAGUAAUCGCGGAUCAGCACGCCGCGGUGAAUACGUUCCCGGGUCUUGUACACACCGCCCGUCACACCAUGGAAGUUUGUAAUGCCCAAAGCCGGUGGCCUAACCGUAAGGAGGAACC